GUGGAGGCAGGGUGCGUGUCGUUAAAGCGAAUCCACACGUGGGUGGGAGAUGUACGUUAGCUCAAUGUCUAUGGGGCUGGUGAUCUAAGGUCUGCCGACUUCCUCUGCAGAGAAAUCAGCUCAUCCUCCGGGGUCCAGGUAUUGUGUGUCACCUGUGGCAUAGCAUGGUCCAGAAGAGCAAGAAAGGAAGAUUAUCCAUGAGGUGUGGAAAAAACAUCUAGAGAUGGUAAGAAAUAGCGUCAGACUUUUUUUUUUUUUUUUUUUUU
rnacentral:lncRNA from 1 species